rnacentral:rRNA from 1 species
AGUGAACGCUGGCGGUAGGCCUAACACAUGCAAGUCGAACGGCAGCACAGUAAGAGCUUGCUCUUACGGGUGGCGAGUGGCGGACGGGUGAGGAAUACAUCGGAAUCUACUUUUUCGUGGGGGUUAACGUAGGGAAACUUACGCUAAUACCGCAUACGACCUACGGGUGAAAGCAGGGGAUCUUCGGACCUUUCGCGAUUGAAUGAGCCGAUGUCGGAUUAGCUAGUUGGCGGGGUAAAGGCCCACCAAGGCGACGAUCCGUAGCUGGUCUGAGAGGAUGAUCAGCCACACUGGAACUGGGACACGGUCCAGACUCCUACGGGAGGCAGCAGUGGGGAAUAUUGGACAAUGGGCGCAAGCCUGAUCCAGCCAUACCGCGUGGGUGAAGAAGGCCUUCGGGUUGUAAAGCCCUUUUGUUGGGAAAGAAAAGCAGCAGGUUAAUACCCCGCUGUUCUGACGGUACCCAAAGAAUAAGCACCGGCUAACUUCGUG